ACUAACAACGGUAAUAAAAUUGAUCAUUUAUAAUAAGAAAAAUGUCAAGGAUAAAUUUCAUUUCAAAUCCAACAUUGGUGUCUAAUUUGAUCCUAGUUUCUGAAUUCCUUUAUUGAAUUAUUAUCGAAUUCUCUUUAUUAUUCUUGCCCUAAUGUCUUAGUGAUAGAACCUUUAAUUCCAAAGUAACCCAUAAUUCCGUAGUGGAUUUAAGAUUAGAAUUAAGCCUUACUGUACAAGAAUUCUCUUGUUAAACUAUUGCCUUUACGACUAAUUUAAUUGGUUUCAUGACCUGCAUCUAUCCCUAGACUACAAAUUCAUGAGCUUCUCUUCUCAAGCAUUCGUAAAGUCCACGUCUAUUUCAAAAUAAGAAUCGUAGAACAGUUUAAUGUUGAUCAAGCAAUAAAAAACAUUAAGCACAUAGAUGA
rnacentral:lncRNA from 1 species